rnacentral:rRNA from 1 species
UACAGAGGGUGCAAGCGUUGUUCGGAAUUAUUGGGCGUAAAGGGCGCGUAGGCGGUGCUGUAAGUCUGUGGUGAAAUCUCUGGGCUCAACUCAGAGUCUGCCAUAGAAACUGCAGUGCUGGAGUGUGGGAGAGGUGAGUGGAAUUCCAGGUGUAGCGGUGAAAUGCGUAGAUAUUGGGAGGAACACCAGUGGCGAAGGCGGCUCACUGGACCGGAACUGACGCUGAGGCGCGAAAGCGUGGGGAGCAAACGGG